rnacentral:rRNA from 1 species
UACGGAGGGUGCAAGCGUUAUCCGGAUUCACUGGGUUUAAAGGGUGCGUAGGUGGGUUGAUAAGUCAGUGGUGAAAUCCCCGAGCUUAACUUGGGAACUGCCAUUGAUACUAUUGAUCUUGAAUACCGUGGAGGUCAGCGGAAUAUGUCAUGUAGCGGUGAAAUGCUUAGAUAUGACAUAGAACACCAAUUGCGAAGGCAGCUGGCUACGCGAAUAUUGACACUGAUGCACGAAAGCGUGGG